rnacentral:rRNA from 1 species
GGGGAAUAUUGGACAAUGGGCGCAAGCCUGAUCCAGCAAUGCCGCGUGAGUGAUGAAGGCCUUAGGGUUGUAAAGCUCUUUUACCAGGGAUGAUAAUGACAGUACCUGGAGAAUAAGCUCCGGCUAACUCCGUGCCAGCAGCCGCGGUAAUACGGAGGGAGCUAGCGUUGUUCGGAAUUACUGGGCGUAAAGCGCACGUAGGCGGCUAGUCAAGUCAGGGGUGAAAUCCCGGGGCUCAACCCCGGAACUGCCCUUGAAACUGGUUAGCUAGAAUCUUGGAGAGGUCAGUGGAAUUCCGAGUGUAGAGGUGAAAUUCGUAGAUAUUCGGAAGAACACCAGUGGCGAAGGCGACUGACUGGACAAGUAGUGACGCUGAGGUGCGAAAGCGUGGGGAGCAAAC